rnacentral:rRNA from 1 species
CACGUAGGGGGCGAGCGUUGUCCGGAUUUAUUGGGCGUAAAGAGCUCGUAGGCGGCUCAGUAAGUCAGGUGUGAAAACUCCAGGCUCAACCUGGAGACGCCACCUGAUACUGCUGUGGCUAGAGUCCGGUAGGGGAGCAUGGAAUUCCUGGUGUAGCGGUGAAAUGCGCAGAUAUCAGGAGGAACACCAGUGGCGAAGGCGGUGCUCUGGGCCGGAACUGACGCUGAGGAGCGAAAGCGUGGGGAGCGAUCCGG